rnacentral:tRNA from 1 species
UGGCCGAGCGGUGUAAGGUGCUGGAUUAAGGCGCCAGUCACUUCAAAGGCGUGGGUUCGAAUCCCACCACUG